UACGUAGGGGGCAAGCGUUGUCCGGAAUCAUUGGGCGCAAAGCGCGUGUAGGCGGCCUUGUAAGUCCGUUCUGAAAGCCCGGGGCUCAACCCCGGGAGGCGGAUGGAUACUGCAAGGCUCGAGUACGGAAGAGGCGAGUGGAAUUCCCGGUGUAGCGGUGAAAUGCGCAGAUAUCGGGAGGAACACCAAUGGCGAAGGCAGCUCGCUGGGACGUUACUGACGCUGAGACGCGAAAGCGUGGGGAGCAAACAGG
rnacentral:rRNA from 1 species